AGUGGAAUUUCUGGAUCAUAUGAUAAAUGUAUGCUUCAUUUUAUAAGAAACAGCCACUUUAUUUCCAUAGUGGCUAUACAAUUUUGGAUUUCCACCAGCAAU
rnacentral:pre_miRNA from 1 species